AUUGAACUCUGGCGGCAGGCCUAACACAUGCAAGUCGAACGAGUGGCGGACGGGUGAGUAAUGUCUGGGAAACUGCCCGAUGGAGGGGGAUAACUACUGGAAACGGUAGCUAAUACCGCAUACCAUCGGAUGUGCCCAGAUGGGAUUAGCUAGUAGGUGGGGUAAAGGCUCACCUAGGCGACGAUCCCUAGCUGGUCUGAGAGGAUGACCAGCCACACUGGAAAUGUGACACGGUCCAGACUCCUACGGGAGGCAGCAGUGGGGAAUAUGGCACAAUGGGCGCAAGCCUGAUGCAGCCAUGCCGCGUGUAUGAAGAAGGCCUUCGGGUUGUAAAGUACUUUCAGCGAGGAGGCGUUACGCGCAGAAGAAGCAUCGGCGAACUCCGUGCGAGCAGGCGCGGUAAUAC
rnacentral:rRNA from 1 species